rnacentral:rRNA from 1 species
UACGUAGGGGGCAAGCGUUGUCCGGAUUUAUUGGGCGUAAAGAGCGUGUAGGCGGCCAGGUAGGUCCGUUGUGAAAACUCGAGGCUCAACCUCGAGACGCCGAUGGAAACCAUCUGGCUAGAGUCCGGAAGAGGAGAGUGGAAUUCCCGGUGUAGCGGUGAAAUGCGCAGAUAUCAGGAGGAACACCGGUGGCGAAGGCGCCACUCUGGGCCGGUACUGACGCUGAGGAGCGAAAGCGUGGGUAGCAAACAGG